rnacentral:rRNA from 1 species
CAUGAAAAGGAUGAAGGGAACCCAAGACCAAAUGCAAUGAUCUAACCAUUUCAGAAUUGUUUGAAAGAGUGUGGGUUGCACAAUCUGGGAUAUAUUGGUGACUGCUUCACUUGGAGGAGAGGGGAGACUAGGCGGCUUGACAGGGUUGUAUGUAAUGUUGAAUGGUCAAAUAAAUUCCCUAAAGCAGGCAUCAUCAAUGAGGAACAUCUACAUUCUGACCAUCCUCCCUUAAUCCUUGACACAUAAUAUUUUUUAUGGGAAUGUUUUUAA